UUCCAUAGCUAAAAGCCAAUU
ensembl:piRNA 21ur-8064 ncRNA